rnacentral:rRNA from 1 species
GAUGAACGCUGGCGGCGUGCCUAAUACAUGCAAGUCGAGCGAACAGACGCUGAGCUUGCUCCUCUGACGUGUGCCGAGGACGUGAGAGUAACGCGUGUAUAACCUACCUAUCAUUCUGAUAUCACUUCGGAACACCGGAUCUUAUACCGUAUAAUAUAUUGAUCCGCGUUGGUCAAUGGUGAAAUACGGUGUUGCUGGCACUUAUCGCUGGUUCCGCGCCGCAUUAGCUAGUUGUUAAGGUAACGGCUUACGAAGGCAACUCUGCGUAUCCGACCGGAGAGGCGGAUCGGCCACCCUGGAACUGAGACACGGACCAUACUCCUACGGGACGCAGCAGUAGGGAACCGUCCGCAAUGGGCGAAAGCCUGACGGAGUAACGCGGCGUGAGUGAUGAAGGCCUCCGGAUCGUAAAACUCUGUUAUUAGGGAAGAACAAAUGUGUAAGUAACUAUGCACGUCUUGACGGUACCUAAUCAGAAAGCAACGGCUAACUACGUG